rnacentral:lncRNA from 1 species
AUGGGCUUUAAGUCACAUUUCAUCUUUUUAGACGUUGAGCUUCUAGCUGUCAUGGUGGAAUUUGGAAAAUGAAAAGAACAAAGCAUGUUUAAUUGUAUUUGAUAUUUAAUUAAACAAUGUUUUAUGUCUGUUGACAAAGGCGGCACAUGUUUCCACAAUGUCUGUUAGAUUUGGCCUUGUAUGCCUCCGUAAUGUACUGAAUACUUUGUAUAUUUUUAAUUCACCAAUUUGGUGUUCCACUUGAAUUCUGUAUUCACCAAUCACGCGUUUAAAUUUUCUGCUCUUUCUCUUAAAUGUUAUGGCUUACGAUUAAUUUGAGGUGUUAUAAAUGGUGUAACUAAAGGAUGACGAUAUGGAUAAACU